AGCGAACGCUGGCGGCAGGCCUAACACAUGCAAGUCGAACGAACCUUUCGGGGUUAGUGGCGGACGGGUGAGUAACACGUGGGAACGUGCCUUUAGGUUCGGAAUAACUCAGGGAAACUUGUGCUAAUACCGAAUGUGCCCUUCGGGGGAAAGAUUUAUCGCCUUUAGAGCGGCCCGCGUCUGAUUAGCUAGUUGGUUGAGGUAAUGGCUCACCAAGGCGACGAUCAGUAGCUGGUCUGAGAGGAUGAUCAGCCACAUUGGGGCUGAGACACGGCCCAAACUCCUACGGGAGGCAGCAGUGGGGAAUCUUGCGCAAUGGGCGAAAGCCUGACGCAGCCAUGCCGCGUGAAUGAUGAAGGUCUUAGGAUUGUAAAAUUCUUUCACCGGAGACGAUAAUGACGGUACCCGGAGAAGAAGCCCCGGCUAACUUCGUG
rnacentral:rRNA from 1 species